UCUCGUAUAUGCGGAUGUACC
rnacentral:miRNA from 1 species